AAUACAACUGGAUUAUGCAGCAAGACAAUGAUUCAAAGCAUAGGAGUAAGACUUGAGUAAGAAAAAUGCUGGGUUAAAUCUAGUCGAAUUCAUUUCAUAUCUGUAGCCCAUUGCUGACAUGUUGGUUUAAUUUGACACCACACUGUAAUGGUUGGUUUAUGUUGUAGAUCAAAAUUGCUGGCUGGUUGUUGGUUGCUAUAACUACCAAAAAUUGGUUUAUUAUGACCCAGCCACUGAUCAUCUUAAUCUGAAAUUGUGGAAAACAGUGGAUCUGUAGUCUAUCCCAGGAACACUGAUCAAAAGUGUUCCUGCUGCAUUGGAUGCCAGUUGAUCACAGGAAACUACACACAUACACACACUUAUUCUACCUACAGUCCCCUAUGAAAGUAUUAGAAUAGCAAGGUCAAUUCUUUUGUUUUUGCUAUACACUGAAGACAUUUGGAUUAGAGAUAAAAAAAGAUGAAUAUGACAUUAUAGAUCAAGAUUUCAGCUACCCUUUCCUGAUAUUUACACCUAGAUGUAUUAAAGAACGUAGAACAUGGCACCCUUUCUUUUAACCCACCCACUUUUGAAGAGAUGUUCAAAAAAUAUUGGAACAUGUGAAUGGCAGGUGAAGGAUGUAAUGUUAUUUAAUUGCGAAUCUGUUUUUAGAGGAUUUAAACCUAACAUGGUGAACAAAUUAUAUUAUAGAAUUCAGGCAAUUUUACUGGGGUUAUCUCAUACAGUGUAGCAAGUAAUAAUCUGGAAAGACCUUUGUAAUAUCACCGUCUAAAACUGGAUUUAAAGAGAAGCAAAUUAGUAAAUAAAUCACAUGUAAAUGAAUCAUAUGUAAAUGAGACAUAUGAAAAUGUAUCACUUGAAUAUGAAUCACAUGAAAAUGAAUCACAUGUAAAGGAAUCAUACGUAAAUGAAUCACAUGCAAAUGUAUCACUUGAAUAUGAAUCUCAUGAAUAUGAAUCACAUGUAAAUGAAUCAUACGUAAAUGAAUCACAUGUAAAUGAAC
ensembl:lncRNA